rnacentral:lncRNA from 1 species
GUCCCAUGUUCAUUUGAUUUGAUUUUUGUCCCAUACAAGAAUAUAUAUGGCUUACUGGUGGGGAUCUCCACCAUUUACAAGUAUUCAAACAGGAGGGGGUGGUGGUGACCCCCAGGGACUUUACCUACAUUUCAUUUGAUUUGUUUUAUUGUCCCAUACAAGAAUAUAUAUGGUUUAGGGGUGGGGAUGUUGACCAUUAACAAGUUUUCAUACUGCAAGAGUGGGGUGGGAGACCCCCUAGGGACUUCCCUUUUAUUUCAUUUUAUUUGUUUUAUUGUCCCCUACAAGAAUAUAUAUGGUUUAGGGGUGGGGAUGUUGACCGUUUACAAGUUUUCAAACAAGAAGGGGUGGGAUGACCCCCUCAGGACUUCCCUUUUAUCUCAUUUCAUUUGUUUUAUUGUCCCCUACAAGAAUAUAUGUGGUUUAGGGGUGGGGAUCUGGACCGUUUACAAGAUAAUAGUACAUUCUCAAAUUGAACGGGGUGGGGGUGACCCCCAGGAACUUCCAUUUAAUUUCAUUUGAUUAGUUUUAUUGUCCCUUACAAGAAUAUAUAUAGUUUAGGGGUGGGG